GGUCAAGGUUGCUGUCAUGAAUGCUGACCAUCCCGGACCCAUACAGUGUCUGCAGUUUAAUCCCAAGUACAUGAUGCUGGCCUCAGCCUGCUCCAACAUGGCUUUCUGGUUGCCUUAUAUUGAUGACUGAACUCCACCUACUGGUACAUGUACAUGCCUGAAAUAUCUCAAAAGGAAGUGCUUAUAAUCAAAGCAUUGUGUAAAACUAGUAUUCGAUGAACAGGAAAACGGAAGGAUGAGAUUGAGUUGUAAAAACUCUGAACUCAAUAUUAUUGAAGUAAUAAGAUACCAAAUGACAGUGCUUUUUUAUGAUGUAGUUGAACAUUUGAUGUUGUUUUAUGCAUAGAUAGAUGACGAACGGUCUUUGAUCAGUUGGGCAGCAGAUAUUGUACAUUUAGCUUAUUUUCACCCUUCAUCAUUAAUUCAUUAUUCUAGAUACAGCUAAUCAGUAACAUUAUUUACAUGUACAUGUAGUAUUACAUGUAUUACAUUUAUGAUGGUGAACUAUUGAAAUCCCAUAAUUACCUUCAUGACAUGAUCAUUUCUUUGAUUACAUGGUCAUUUGCAACACUCACUGACAAAAAAAGAGAGACACACAUUUAGAUUUAUUAAUUGUGUACCAGUAAGCAUAAGCUCCUUUUUCAAUGUCACUUCUACUGACUUCUCCAAUUUGAAUUGUGUGUGUACAAUUUCUUGAUAAUUUCUCAAUGUUAAUAGUUAUAAUGUAUAACUGGUCAAAGUUUAUUAGAAUGUUAAAUGUAAAAUAAUGUAGAAAUGUCCAUUACAAUUUUUUUUUUGGUCAGAGACAGAUAACUUACAGAAAUUGCUGAAUUUACCUUUUCCCUUGAAAGUGUAUUUAAUCCUAGAUGGUGUAUGUAGAACAUACAGUCUUUUAUCAUUGUUUUGUUGUGUGGAGUUGAUAUGUAAACCUGUCAUCAUCUUUGUUACAUAUUGUACAAAUGACUGAUCAACAGAUACUUGUAUUAAAAGUAUUUUUACUUCU
rnacentral:misc_RNA from 1 species